rnacentral:tRNA from 1 species
ACAUUGGUAGUUCAGUGGUAGAAUUUGCAUCUUCCAUACAGAAGGCCUGGGUUCGAUUCCCAGUGAUGUA